rnacentral:tRNA from 2 species
CGGGGCGUAGCGUCGUGGCGAGCGCGCCUGCUUUGGGAGCAGGAGAUCGGGAGUUCGAAUCUCCCCGCCCCGACCA